AAUCGGAAUUACUGGGCGUAAAGCGCACGCAGGCGGUCUGUCAAGUCGGAUGUGAAAUCCCCGGGCUCAACCUGGGAACUGCAUUCGAAACUGGCAGGCUUGAGUCUCGUAGAGGGGGGUAGAAUUCCAGGUGUAGCGGUGAAAUGCGUAGAGAUCUGGAGGAAUACCGGUGGCGAAGGCGGCCCCCUGGACGAAGACUGACGCUCAGGUGCGAAAGCGUGGGGAGCAAACAGGAUUAGAUACCCUGGUAGUCCACGCCGUAAACGAUGUCUAUUUGGAGGUUGUGCCCUUGAGGCGUGGCUUCCGGAGCUAACGCGUUAAAUAGACCGCCUGGGGAGUACGGCCGCAAGGUUAAAACUCAAAUGAAUUGACGGGGGCCCGCACAAGCGGGGAGCAUGUGGUUUAAUUCGAUGCAACGCGAAGAACCUUACCUGGUCUUGACAUCCAAGAACUUGGCAGAGAUGCCUUGGUGCCUUCGGGAACUGUGAGACAGGUGCUGCAUGGCUGUCGUCAGCUCGUGUUGUGAAAUGUUGGGUUAAGUCCCGCAACGAGCGCAACCCUUAUCCUUUGUUGCCAGCGGUUCGGCCGGGAACUCAAAGGA
rnacentral:rRNA from 1 species